GCCAGGCAUGGUGGUGUGUGCCUGUAGUCCCAGCUACUUGGGAGGCUGAGGCAGGAGGAUUGCUUGAGCCCAGGAUGUCAAGGCUGCAGUGAGCUAUGAUCUCAUCAUUGCACUCCAGCCUGGGCAACACAGCAAGAUACUGCCUCAA
rnacentral:SRP_RNA from 1 species